rnacentral:rRNA from 1 species
UGAAUACGAGACGCUACGGCGUCGAAGCAGUCUAUGUCAUACUUCCAAGAAAAGCUUGCACUGUCAUAAACAAAUAAUGCCUGUACCAUAACCGACACAGGUGGGUAGGUAGAGUAUACUAAGGGGCGCGAGAUAACUCUCUCUAAGGAACUCGGCAAAAUGACUCCGUAACUUCGGGAGAAGGAGUGCCUUAUUUAUAAGGUUGCAAUAACAAGAUCCAAGCAACUGUUUAUCAAAAACACAGGUCUCCGCUAAGUCGUAAGACGAUGUAUGGGGGCUGACGCCUGCCCAGUGCCAGAAGGUUAAAGAAGUUGGUUAGCAUAUCGAAGCUGAUAACUGAAGCCCUGGUGAACGGCGGCCGUAACGAUAACGGUCCUAAGGUAGCGAAAUUCCUUGUCGGGUAAGUUCCGACCCGCACGAAAGGCGUAAUGAUUUGGAUACUGUCUCGGAGAGGGGCUCGGUGAAAUAGACUUGUCUGUGAAGAUGCGGACUACCUGCACCUGGACAGAAAGACCCUAUGAAGCUUUACUGUAACCUGAAAUUGAAAUUGGACUUUAUUUGCGCAGUAUAGGUGGGAGGCGUUGAGAAUAUUCUUGCGGGAAUAUUGGAGCCAUCAGUGAGAUACCACUCUUGUAAUGUUAGAUUUCUAACUUUGAAUCAUUAUCUGGUCAAAGAACAGUUUCAGGCGGGCAGUUUGACUGGGGCGGUCGCCUCCUAAAUGGUAACGGAGGCGCACAAAGGUUUCCUCUGAACGGGUAGAAAUCGUAUCUAGAGUGUAAAGGCAUAAGGAAGCUUGACUGUGAGACCUACAAGUCGAGCAGGGACGAAAGUCGGUCUUAGUGAUCUGACGGUGCUGAGUGGAAAGGCCGUCACUCAACGGAUAAAAGUUACUCUAGGAUAACAGGCUGAUCUCCCCCAAGAGUUCACAUCGACGGGGAGGUUUGGCACCUCGAUGUCGGCUCAUCGCAUCCUGGGGCGGUAGUACGUCCCAAGGGUUGGGCUGUUCGCCCAUGAAAGCGGUACGCGAGCUGGGUUCAGAACGUCGUGAGACAGUUCGGUCCAUAUCCGGUGUAGGCGUUAGAAUAUUGAGAGGAGCCUUCUUUAGUACGAGAGGACCGAGAAGGACAUACCUCUGGUGUACCAGUUAUCGUGCCAACGGUAAACGCUGGGUAGCUAUGUAUGGAGAGGAUAACCGCUGAAAGCAUCUAAGUGGGAAGCCCACCUCAAGAUAAGUAUUC